GUCACAAUGGCCGAGCGGUCUAAGGCGCCAGACUCAAGGUUGUGCACCUUCUCCAAAACAGAGAGAUUUCUGGUCUCCGAAUGGAGGCGUGGGUUCAAAUCCCACUUCUGACA
rfam:Astyanax mexicanus chromosome 4, whole genome shotgun sequence.